GAUGAACGCUAGCGGCAGGCUUAACACAUGCAAGUCGAGGGGCAGCGCGAUGUAGCAAUACAUUGGCGGCGACCGGCGCACGGGUGCGUAACACGUAUGCUACCUUCCUCUUACUGGGGCAUAGCCCGGAGAAAUCCGGAUUAAUACCCCAUAAUACCUUGAAGGGCAUUCUUCGGGGUUGAAAGUACACAACGGUAAGAGAUGGGCAUGCGCACGAUUAGCAGUUGGUGAGGUAAUGGCUCACCAAGGCUACG
rnacentral:rRNA from 1 species